rnacentral:rRNA from 1 species
UUGAACGCUGGCGGCAUGCUUUACACAUGCAAGUCGAACGGUAACAGGCCUUCGGGUGCUGACGAGUGGCGAACGGGUGAGUAAUGCAUCGGAACGUACCCAGAGGUGGGGGAUAACGCAGCGAAAGCUGUGCUAAUACCGCAUGUGAUCUGAGGAUGAAAGCGGGGGACCGAGCAGCAAUGUUUGGCCUCGCGCCUUUGGAGCGGCCGAUGUCGGAUUAGCUAGUUGGUGGGGUAAAGGCCUACCAAGGCGACGAUCCGUAGCUGGUCUGAGAGGACGACCAGCCACACUGGGACUGAGACACGGCCCAGACUCCUAAGGGAGGCAGCAGUGGGGAAUUUUGGACAAUGGGCGCAAGCCUGAUCCAGCAAUGCCGCGUGCGGGAAGAAGGCCUUCGGGUUGUAAACCGCUUUUGGCAGGAACGAAACGGUGUCCGCUAAUACCGGGCGCUAAUGACGGUACCUGCAGAAUAAGCACCGGCUAACUACGUG